rnacentral:miRNA from 1 species
AUGCAUGUGUGUAAUUGUGUGUAUGUGUGCAUGUACAUGUGAAUUUGUGUGUGCAUGCAUGUGUGUGCAUGUGUGCGCAUGUGUGCACAUGUGUGCACAUGUGUGCACAUGUGUGUAU